rnacentral:ribozyme from 1 species
UUUUUUUUUUUUUUUUUUUUUUUUUCACCU